GAUGAACGCUGGCGGCGUGCCUAAUACAUGCAAGUCGAGCGAACGGACGAGAAGCUUGCUUCUCUGAUGUUAGCGGCGGACGGGUGAGUAACACGUGGAUAACCUACCUAUAAGACUGGGAUAACUUCGGGAAACCGGAGCUAAUACCGGAUAAUAUUUUGAACCGCAUGGUUCAAAAGUGAAAGACGGUCUUGCUGUCACUUAUAGAUGGAUCCGCGCUGCAUUAGCUAGUUGGUAAGGCAACGGCUUACCAAGGCAACGAUGCAUAGCCGACCUGAGAGGGUGAUCGGCCACACUGGAACUGAGACACGGUCCAGACUCCUACGGGAGGCAGCAGUAGGGAAUCUUCCGCAAUGGUCGAAAGCCUGACGGAGCAACGCCGCGUGAGUGAUGAAGGUCUUCGGAUCGUAAAACUCUGUUAUUAGGGAAGAACAUAUGUGUAAGUAACUGUGCACAUCUUGACGGUACCUAAUCAGAAAGCCACGGCUAACUACGUG
rnacentral:rRNA from 1 species